rnacentral:lncRNA from 1 species
AACAAGCCUCUCCUUCGGGUGAUGCCUUCUUUGGGGUGGCCUUUCUGCGAGCGUCCGUGCGUGCGUGUCCAUGAAUAAACCUCAGCUUGUCUCGGCAAGCUAGGUGCGAGUCCCUUCUUUGUUUUUUGUAUGAUUAUUGCCAGUGUUUGUUUCUUGUUGGGUUCGUCCUCAGAGUUGCUGCGAGAUUUAUGGGAUUAUCCCAGUCAAUCCUUCUGUCAUGUAAGAUUUUAUUUUGGGCAAAUCAUGAGUGUUGUAUGCCUGUUCCCUCAGUAACUCACUCGUUGUGUAUACAAUUGGACAGGCAUGUCACAUGGUGCCUGUAGUUGUGAUGUGCAUGCUAUACCUCCGUGUGAUCGAGAUCGAUCCAUAUGAUCGAUGCGCCAUGUGUGCAGUGGCAGCUGACACCCGGCGCUACGCAUGCGCAAGGACCGCUGCGAGACCUGAGCAUUUCUUGGGCCGGGCUUUAAAAAGCCGAACCCCACAAAUCUAAGCCUGAGCCAUGCCCGGUCCUGAACAAACGAACACUAUUCUAUUUUUCUCAAUCCUUUUUCCGGUAGUGAAUACUACCUCCCUCCCAGUUUAUUAGACCCCUAGUAUAUUGAGUCAAACUUUGACCAUUGACAUGACUAAUAAAAUAUAGAAUACAUGCUUAAAGUAGUACAAUGUUGGAUUUGUAUUUGAAAGAGCGUUCGGAAGGUAUAAUGUUUGUGACGUAUAGUUUACAUGUUAUUAGUUAAAAUUGUGAGUCAAACUUUAAUCUAAAAUAAGAGGGAGCCUAAUAAACCCGGACGGAGGUAGUAGUACUUAUCUUUCUAUUGAAAUUACGUAAUUUAUUCAUUUUCAAGAUAUAUUAAUACAUUAGUAUGAUUUUUUUAAUGAAACCUUAUUUUUAGUUUUUUAGAACCACAAUAUAGGCCAGAAGCUCACAAUCACUAUAUAUGUGGCAAUUUCCCAAAAGAAAAAACCCAUGUGUGCCAACAUUUUUUAGGAAAGAUAUUUCUUUCCAUUUCAUUAACGAAACCCCCGCAUGUUCUUACAAGAUACAAACUGCUAAAAGAGCCUGGAGGCCUUUAAUUUGAAAAUUUUCAAAAUCCUAUUUUUUUUGUUUCAAAAAAUUCUGAAACAACACACAUGUAUGCAAGGAUGUAAUGUGUAUGUGUGUAAAAAUUCAGUAUGAAAUAUCUUGAUUUACGAGCUGCAAAUAAAUUUAAUGGAGUAUGAGGAUGAAGAAUACAUAUGCUAAAAAGCCCCAGAUUUUUUUCUGUAGCUCUCAUUUAAACCUAUUUCGAUCUGAAAAUUUGCACACAUGUACAUUAUGUGUAUUACGUGAAUUUGUUUUCAGAAUUUAUUGAAACUGAAAUACGGUUAAGUGUACGCAUGAGCCUACAAAAUACGUACAAGGUAUUUGUAAAUGAUAAAAGUACUACAACAAACAACUCAAAACAGGUGUUCGACGUGGACCUCUUUUGUUUUGCAGGAACAUGGGAAUUAUUAAUGUACAGUAAUGCCUUUUACAAUCAUGAUUGAGCAACUCGGCAAAAAACAAAGUGGCCUCAAGCGGCCAAACAUUGGCCUCUACACCCGCUCCUAGCACCAGCAGCUUGUGCAAGUUGGCGAGCUACCCUGUGUCCUCCUCUAUUAACCUGAACCGAAAUUCAGGAAGUUCAGCCGCAGUAUCUCUAACAUCAGGUAGCAGGCGAUAAUACUACACGCACACGGAAAGAAUCGACAGACUUUCACGGAAUCCACCUCACCUAACCAAAUCCUAGCCAAUCAAUUUCUAACUACACCGUAAUCCCCCUGUAAAUCCCCGUGUGUCUAGCAUUGCUCGAUAGCAGGUGUGCAUGGGCAUGGCGCGACCAUAACUUGAGAGCCUGACUCCACUUGAGGCCAAACUGUUCAUGGCCGCCCAUCCAGUCAUCGGCGUCGCAGACCACGCGGAUUUGUGUUGUAGCAAUCCAUCCGCCUUGCUUGAACACAAAGUUCUGUUGGCAAGCUUCCAGCGCCGUGCGUGUCCUGGAGCAGCGGACGGUAGCAAUUGAAGCACGCGCGUACGUGGGAUACUACCCUACGGUCCUACCCUACUUGCGGGUUGCGGCCUUUUCCUCUUUGAGAAGACGUGCACUCCGACUGCUGCAUCGAUCGUUGUGACUCGUGGGACCCUAUUGGCAUCGCGUGUGCCGCUAUAUAAGCUGGGGUGCUCACACAGCAGCUCCGUCACUCAUCCCACCCUGAUACACUCGUUAACUCGUAACGAACAAGCAGCCAUCGAUGGAGGCUCCACGCAAGCUGUCUCCGCCGCGCUCGUGCUGGUGCUGCUGCUCGCGGCCACGGGGGAGAUGGGAGGCCCGGUGGCGGUGGCGGAGGCUCGGAAGUGCGAGUCGCUGAGCCACAGGUUCGCGGGCCUCUGCCUGCGCGGCCACAACUGCGCCAACGUCUGCAGGACCGAGGGCUUCCCCGGCGGCAAGUGCCGCGGCGCCCGCCGCCGCUGCUUCUGCACCACCCACUGCCGCUAGUAGCCUAGCGGCAUGCAUGCGUGCUGGCACCUUUGUGCGUGUGAUUGUGUCCAUGUCCAUGAAUAAACCUCAGCUUGUCUACUAUCUUGGCAUGCAGGCCGAGCUGGGUAUAAGAAACAACUUCUUCUUGUGUCCGUUCCAUGUUUGGGUUCGUCCUCAAAGUUGCAGUGAGGUUCGAUGUGUUCCUUUCACGUGUGUUGUGUUGUGUGCGUGUAAGCGUGUUCCCUCAGUCACUCAUUUGCUCCGUACACGGAACGACGUGCAUGUCGCAUGCUACUUCCGUCUAUGCUUUUUUGUUUGUUUGAGAAAAGUGUGAUCGAGGCAUGUGUGCAGCAAGGAACACGACAGCUGACACCGAGUAAAUUGCACAGAAGUACCACAAUUGGGACAUUAGAAGCAGAUUGAUAAUUUUUACGUGUCAGUAUCAACUUUGGGGCGGGCGAGGCGUUGCAAAAAAGACUAAAACUGCAGUUUAUACGUAUUGACAGGGAAUCUGACUGAUUGGGCCCGCCUGUCAGGUGCUGACGUGGCAAGUUUUUUGCAGAAAACUCCCUUGGUUUGUGAGUAAUCAUGUAAAUGCCCAAUUAUUUCGGGAAAAAAGGCUCCUAUGAGAGGCUUUUUUCCGUUCGUAAUUUCCACCACGGAUUCGGACUCGUUUGCAAAUUUGCGUCGGUUUGAACAAGUAAAUAAAACGAACANNNNNNNNNNNNNNNNNNNNNNNNNNNNNNNNNNNNNNNNNNNNNNNNNNNNNNNNNNNNNNNNNNNNNNNNNNNNNNNNNNNNNNNNNNNNNNNNNNNNNNNNNNNNNNNNNNNNNNNNNNNNNNNNNNNNNNNNNNNNNNNNNNNNNNNNNNNNNNNNNNNNNNNNNNNGGCGUUGCAAAAAAGACUAAAACUGCAGUUUAUACGUAUUGACAAGGAAUCUGACUGAUUGGGACCGCCUGUCAGGUGCUGACGUGGCAAGUUUUUUGCAGAAAACUCCCUUGGUUUGUGAGUAAUCAUGUAAAUGCCGAAUUAUUUCGGGGAAAAAGGCUCCUAUGAGAGGCUUUUUUCCGUUCGUAAUUUUCACCACGGAUUCGGACUCGUUUGCAAAUUUGCGUCGGUUUGAACAAGUAAAUAAAACGAACAAAAAAACAAUCCCGUGCAGGAUUCGAACCGGGGACCUGCGGUACAGCAGAGCAGCGGGCUAGCCACCGCGCCAUGGCUGCGCUCGCGUCAAGAAGCAGGCAGAACGGUUUUUAUACUAGACAUGGGCAGGCUGGGCCGGCCCACCGAGGCCUGCAUUGUUUUUUCCUUUCGCACUUACCUGGCGUAUUGGGGCUCAUUCGUUGCCCAGAUUUCUUUACGUUUCAUUUCUCUUACUUAUUAUGCUUUAUUUUUUAUUCUGGUUUUGGUUUAUUUUUAGGUUUUUCUUUCUUAUUUUUUCAUUCGCUAGGUUGGUUUAUCUCCUGGAUUUUUAACAUAUUUACUGAACAUUUUUUAUGAUGGGUUUUAGUAUAUGAUGAACAGUGAACAUUUAUUUCAUGUAAUGAACUUUUGGUAAUAUACAUUGAACAUGUUUUCAAUGCCAAUUUAAUAUUUUCCUAAUAUAUGUUGAAUUUGUUUCUUAAGAUAUGAUGACAUUUUGCAUAAUGCGCGGUGAAAUUUUCGUAAUUUAUGGUGAACAUUUUCUUAAUACACGAUGAGUUUCAAGAAUAUUAUGAUUACACAAUUUCUUAAUUUAUAGUAAACAUUUUUAAUACACGAUGAACUUUUCUUACAAACAGUGAACACUUUUCUAAUAAUAUGAACGUUGAACAUAAUUUGAAUGCAAAUGGAAUAUUUUUGUAAUAUAUGUUGAAAUAUUUUCUUAAGAUAUGAUGAAAAGUUUACUUAAUGCACGGUGAUUUUUUUAUAAUUUAUUGUGAGCAUUUUCUUAAUACACGAUGACUUUCAAGAGCAUUAUGGUGAACAUUUUCUUAAUACAUGGUGAAUUAUUUGCAUUUCAAGAAAUGUUCAACAUGGGUUAAAAACUUAUUGUGUAAAUCAUUCUUGCAUUUCAAGAAACACGUCGAUUUUUUUAAUAAAAUUUGAACACUUUUAGUGCAUUUUGGAGAUUUAUUAUGAUUACAAAUUUAUAUUUAAUACAUGUUGUCAACUUUCUAAUUAACUGUGCAUUUAAAAAAAUAAAAUAUAUAUGUAUUAAUAUCAUGAAUAACAAAUAUAUAUGGGCCGUGCCUGUGUUCUAGUCUGGUGCUUGACACUUAAUAAUACUAAUAUGUAAUCGCAAAAUAUAUAUGUAUUAAUAUCAUGAUUAAAAAAAACAGUAACCCAGCGCGCAGCCACGCUGGGCCAAUCGCCGGCCCAACGUCUUCAGCAUCUACUAUCUACUAUCUAUCUAUCUACUACCCCUAUAAAAAGAAGAGAGGGGCAGAUCCAAACAAUCUCAUCCAUCCAUCAGCAAAAUUCAAUGACUUAAUCCUUCGGUGUUUAACGCUGCAAACCACGCAUUAAGCCACUAACAAGCCAUCGAUCGAUAACCCAGCCCCGCAGUUAAUCACACGACUCUCGCCCCUGCCCGCACCUCCCUCUUCGCACGACUCUCACCCCUGCGCGCACGACCUCCACCUCCUCCUCCCGCGCCGUUCGCCGCCCCGCAAACUCCGGCAGCCGUUAACCGCCCUUCGCCGCGGGAGCAGCCGCUCGCCACUGCAGCCGCCGCCCGCGGGAGAAGCCGCGGGAGCCGCUCGCCGCUCGCCGCGGGUCGCCCUUUGCCAUGGUCGCCGCCGGAGCCGCCCCGCCCCUGGAUCCGCUCGCCGUUGGUCCCCGCCGGAGCUGCCCCGCCCCUCCCCGGCGCUCCAACCCCAACUCCCCGACUCUCCAUCCUCCCCGCUUCUCAUCACCACCGCCGCACUCCCCGAAGCCCAUCUCUCUCCAGCCUUCCUGCCCGCAUGCAGCCCUCGCCCUCGGCACCGCACGGGCCAGGCCCUCUCUCCUCGGUUAUGGCCACCAUGGAGAACCUGACCCGUAGGGCAUACCCUCCUCCUCUGAUGCGUAACACCCAUCCCUGCCCCGGCGGCUGGGAUCAUGUCCGCCAUCAUGAGCAGGUGCUCCGCAUCCGAGUGCACCGACUCAGAGGUAGAGGUUGGGCUGUAGUUCUUGGACGCCAAGGAAGAACGCAAGUUGUUGCCGCCGCCGAAGAUGAAAACUGGUGGUAACUGGUAAGCCUCUGCAAGCCCCCACCUAGCCUCCCGCCUCUUAGUUCUUCUCCUUUUUUACUCUAGAUGGAUGAUGUCUGAUCUUGUUCACUUAGUCUCCAAUGCGUGAGGAAGAAAAACAGUCACCUCUAACGUCGAUCAGCAGAGCCCAUGUCUUUUGCAUGUAAAGAGACUCUGAGUUAGUGGUUUUCUAUUUACUACAUGCAUACAUCCAAGAACGACUCUACUGAAAAGUAUUAGAAAUUAUUUACAAAUAGCUUUAAGCAAGAAAUGCAACGAGAUGAUUACAUUACAAUGCUCUUUUCUCUCUUCGUUACUACAACCUUGAUGAUGCUUGGGUGAUUCAACUGAAUAGUUGAUGGAUUAAAAUUCAUAUUACAAUGUGGAAAAUGUAGCAGUUUCAGAUUACAAGAUUCAUGUUGCCGUUGUAUAUAAAGGGAGAAUUAAUGUAGUUGCUCUGUAGGAAGCAUGUAGUUUCUCUGUAGGACUCCUGGUGUGCUGCUGGAAUAAACUGGAGGUACAUGUUUUUGUAAUUUUUUGUUGAUAGCUUACCAAGCUGACCACUUGGUAGAGGUACAUGUUGAUUUGUUCUCUUUCAGGUGAUGGAACUCUAUCCUACGCGCAUAGCAGUGAUGGAACAUAGCGUACUUUCACCCUUUUUUCCAGAUCGAGAUGGUGGAGGCAGCCAGUGUCGUGGCCGAGCGCUGGGGAGCUUGUCGGUGUUUUGAUGGAGAAGGCCGGCCGCCUCCUCUCCCUACCAAGUCUUUUUGGCCCAUAGAUCGAGUUCAUGGUUGAUAAGGAAGGUGUGGUCGAUUUCACCAGGCUGGGUCCGAAGGUCCCGAAGUCCUAUGGCAUGAACUGGCCACGGCGCAUCCGGCUGGAUGCACUUGCUCAACACCUUUCCAUCUCUGUACAAUCAGGUAGAUAUUUUCUCACGUGCCAAAUAUUAUUUUUAGGUUGCCAAAUAGUAGUCUAGGAACUAUAGAAAGUGGAUUGCUGAGUUUGCCAAGCAUAAUAGCACACCUAUUAUCAGAUGACCUGAAGAGUAUAUCAAGCAAAGAUGCUUUCAGAUUUAUGCAUGCCUAUAUUAGGUUCCUACUUGUGUGAAGAUAACACUUUGCAUCAGGCUUGUGAGCAACCGUAAGUUGUUUUGCAUGUGAUACUACUUGUGUGAUUAUUUUUACCUUCGGAAAAUUUCCUUCUUAUUAUAUAUCAUAUGGAAUUCUUCAACCAGAGGAGAGCAACUCAAUGAGUUUGCAUACAUUCAGCCAUCUAUGUUGAUGCAACUCAACUAACAAAGAGUAUUUAAGAAAAGACUGCAGUUUGUAAAGCCAGUGGACAAAUUAGUUCUGCACAGUCCGGCAUUAGCGGCGUGCAUGCAGUAAUUCAUCAAUGUUGGGGGUCAGUGCUAUGAACAUCAAGCUUCACCUUUACCAGUGGCAUUAAUUUGUUGUUUUUGUUUUAUAUCAAAUAAUUUACCAUUCUUCAGUUUUGCAUAUCAUAUUUUGGUUCUGAAUUUGUAUUUGGAUAUUUCUGCAACCUUAUUUCUAACAUGCCUUCAACUACUGUUUAUCGCACAAAAAGUCGAAAAAUGUGGAAUAGAGAACUAUUACGGGUAAUACGAAUUGUUUUCUCAUGCAGACUACAAAUUCUCUGUAAUUCACGUGGUUUUGGAAUUUGUUUAAUGUGCAAAAUAUGUACAAGGCUUGUGAGCGGCCAUUUUUAGCCAAGUACUUGUAUAAGUUCUCUUGUAACUUAGCUAUCAGCUUAUUACGAAAGGCUUUGAGGAUUCUUAAUCUAAACUAAAUUUUUAUACCUGUAGUAAUCUUCUGUUAUGAUUUAAUAUUGCACCACGUUAGUCUUGCAUCACGUUAGACCCUGGGUUUGUACUUGCUGCAAAUGCUGUAGGAACUCAACGGCUGUACUUGCUGAAAAUUUCAAUUGAUCAACAUGGGAGUAGUGGUCUCAUGAUCUAAGACUAAGAGUAGAUUUAUUUAUUCUGUUCUAAUAUGUUUAAGAGGGGGAUGAGAAAGUUUCUGCUUAGGUUUGCGUUGCAAGUGAAAGCUUAGUUUAGUAGCAAGGUUAUAACGUGCGUUGCACGUGCAAACUUACUAGUAGUAUAAAGAAGUUCUCGCCUCUUUUACUUCGCGAGGGCAGCCGUGGCGGGGUGGCUAGCCUGCUGCUCUGCUGUACCUCAGGUCGCCGGUUCGAUUCCUGCGCGGGAUUCAGGAUUUGUUCCUUUUAUUUACUUGUUCAAACCGACGCAAAUUUGCAAACGAGUCCGAAUCCGUGGUGGAAAUUACGAACGGAAAAAAAGCCUCUCGUAGGAGCCUCUUUCUCCGAAAUAAUUGGGCAUUUACAUGAUUACACACAAACGGAGGGAGUUUCCUGCAAAAAAUUUGCCACGUCAGCACCCGACAGGCGGGCCCAACCUGUCAGAUUCCCUGUCAAUACGUAUAAACUGCAGUUUUAGUCUUUUUUGCAACGCCUCGCCCAAAGUUGGUACUGACACGUAAAAAUUACCAAUCUUGAUACCAAUCUGUUUCCAAUGCCUCAAUUGUGAUACUUUUGUGCAAUUUACUCGCUGACACCCGUCGCUGCUCAUGCUCAUGCAUGAUGGACUGGCCACGCGUAAAAGGUCCCGGCCUCUAGGAGUGCGAAGUUAUGGUGCUCGGGCAGUCGGGCACCAUGAUGCCCUUUAUUUUCAUUUUUUUAAAACACACACACGCACGCGCGCGUGCGCGCGCGCACACACACAUAUAGAAGUAAAAAAACAAAAAAAACAAAAUCUGUGGAAACAUGUUAUAUGUGCACUGCGGAUCCAUGAAAUUUUGUUUCCAAAAAAAUGUAUUGUGUAAGCUGUACAAAAAAAGAUUCUGUCCCAAAAGCAAAAAGAGGCCCAUUUGAAAAAUACAUAUUUGUCUUUUCUUUGUACGCCUCAUGUGAAAGUAAGAUGUUAUGAAAUUUUGCACAUACAUAGUAUACAUGUGAGUGUGUUUACAAAAAAUUCCAAUCUUUUUUCCCUAUAGAAAAUGUUUUUUCGCGACCUCUAGCAGGUUCAAAGCUGCUUCCUAUUCAGCGCUUCACCCGCGCUGGUUAAAGGCGUCCACGUACGUAAACCAACUGGGCCGGCCUGUAAUGCAUUGAAACAUUCCUGAUUUUUGUGCAGCUUUGUGGUCACUUCUAGGAAGCUUCUAGAAGCAUCAAACCAUUUUUGGGAAGCUUUUGACCGAUGUUUUCUUUGCCUGUUUUUUAAUUUUCAUUUUUCGUUUUUCUUUUUCUUUAUUUAUUAUUUUGUAUUUAACUUUUUUAAAUUCACAAACCUUUUUAAUAUUCAUGCACUUUUUAAAAUCUGUGAAUAUUUUUUAAAUUUAUAUUUUUAUAUAAAUUCGUGAACAUAUUUAAAAUCCAUAAACAUCUUGAAAUUCAUGAACUUUUCCAAAUCCGAAUUAUUUUUCAAAUCAUUGUUUUUAUUUCAAAUUUGUGUUUUUUUUAAUUCAUGAACUAUUUUCCAAUCCAUGAUUUUUAUUCAAAUUCACAAAAAGAAACUCUGUUUGUUCCAAAAGUCAACGGUCUACAGGCCGACCAGGUCAACCAUGAAGAGCGACUAGGCGCGUGAGCUUGAUGAGCGAGCUGCUCGCUCGCAUAGCUAGCCCUGCCUACACAGGGGGGCGAGUGAGCGCUGCCUAGCUACCAGGCGCAGUGAGCGCUAACUAGGAGCUGCCACAGCAAAAAGCAUAGCUGGCUUCCCUCUUAAUGACAAAUUUGCACAAAAUGGACCUUUUGAAGAAAUCUAAGCCCAAGAGGCCCCUAAUUCACCUAUGGACCCCCUCCAGUGGAUGAUUGCGGUUCAUAUAUUAACAUGGUCAGUAUUAUCACGAUUUUACCUGCUACUUAUGUCCGACGAUCAAAAUUGGUCCAUAUAUCGUCACAUAUAUAUAAGUAAACUAAAUAGUUGCUCGUGCCACUAGUGGAAAAAGGCUCAUUUGUCCCGGUUCUGGAACCGGGACUAAAGGGUCGAGACUAAAGCUCAAACCUUUAGUCCCGGUUUGCUUAUGAACCGGGAGUAAAGAAGCUCCACGUGGCCGCUGUCUGGAGCUCCACCUUUACCAACCAGGACUAAAGAAUUUUUUUUAAAAAAUUUAUUUUUCUGAAUUUUGUUGAAUUUUUUUUGAUUUUUUUCUUAUUUUCAAAUUUCUGAAUUAUUUGACAAUUUAAUCUCUAAUCAUCCCUCAUCACUGCUCACUGCUCAAUUAUAAACCACUCAUUUCAAAUCGUCUAACUUCCCAGCAAGUCACGCAUCUUCUCACUACUCCAUCCUGAGCAUGCUUAACUUUCGAGUUCUAUUCCCCCUAGUUUUCAAGUGCUUUUCCUGACAAUACUAAGCUGUCAAUCCUAUUAACACUUAGGAGUUGAACUUGAGCAUUAAGCACCGUUUGAGUUUGAAACUAUUAUUCUAAAAAAACAAUUAUUAUUUAGUAACACUAAUAUUUCUUGAAUAAGUAGUUUGACCAUAGUUUGACCAGAUUUGACCAUAGUUUGACCACAAUUUGACCAAAAGUCAAAAAAGAAAAAAUAAUUAUUUAUUAACACUAAUAUUUCUUGAAUAAGUAGUUUGGCCACAGUUUAAUCAGAUUUAAUGGAAAGUCAAAAAAACUGAAAUUUGAGCAUAUUUGUUUUCUUUCAGAAUUUCAGGAUUCUAAAAAUUUGCAAACAGGUCUACGGCUGUCAAAAUCGAAUGUGGAUUUUCGUGCUUUUUUUUGAUAUAUUAUGCGUUUUUUCGACAUCGUAUGCAAAAGAUAUGACCGUUUUACUUUUUCAUAACACUUUUUUUGCAAAAUAUGUCCAAAUUUAAGCUUUUUAAUUUUCCUAACUAGUAGAUGUAAUAACAUAACUACAUCUCGAAGGAUUUAAUUUUUUAAGUUUUUAUCAUUUUCUUUUGGAUUUUAAAAGACUGAAAAGGCGAUACACGGGGGGUAGAGUUUGAAUCUUUAGUCCCAGUUUACGACACGAACCGGGACUAAAGAGUGCGAUGCCCUUUAGUCCCGGUUCGUGUCUCAAACCGGGACUAAAGGUCCCAUUUGAACCGGGACUAAUGUCUUCUCGACGCCUUAGCCGCUUGAACCGGGACUAAUGCUCAUAUUAGUUUCGGUUCGUGAUGCAACCGGGACUAAAGUGUACAUUGAGCUGUGACCAAAGCCCUGUUUUCUACUAGUGUGCAUUGUAAUGGGGCACACUAUUUUCUACCCAAACAUUGUGAUUUAUCGUACAUUUUGUUGUUAUAUGAUAAUUACAUACUAAAUGUCGCAACUGAAUAAGUACUUAUUGAUUUACCAAAGAAAACAUGAUUCUAUUAGUUAAAUCAAUAAGGCGUGGACCAGUUGAGGUGGUUCAAAAGAGAAUCGAUGAGAUAUUUUUAAUAAAACCUUGUGUUCAUUUUAAGUAGGAUAGAUGUUGCCGCAUUUUUCUAAAUCAUUGGGUUUAGAUUAGGGGGGUGGGUGCAAAUCAAGCGUGUGGCAACUCUAACGAGCUUGCAAAACUGGUUGUAUGUGCAAUCUUAUUAUAGCAAUCAAAUAUAUCUAAAUGCAUCUUUUUUUUUGAGGAGGUACGCAAAUUGUGCACCUUAGCUUUAUAGAAGGAGAGAAAUAAGACAUACAACAACGUCUACCAUUCGCUGCGGAGAACGAAGGCGACCAACUCCACACCCGGUUCGAACAAGGACAACCAAACACAACAACCUACCCAACACCGAGCCCCUCGCCGCGUCUCGACCGACACUGAAGACCUCCGAAGAACAGCAACUCCAGCUUCCUUGGAGUAGCCAGCGACGACCGUACAUGGCGCCGAAGGAGAAAGAUCCGGGUAGCGGUGAACACCGGAGGAGCGCAUCAUGGGACCUCGAGUCUCCCAGCAUAAUGCUCCCAACAGAGUAACAACCUCAAAGACGUUGCCAUCAUGCCGAUCCUACGAAUCAAGGCUUUCACCCCGGAGACAGCUGACGAAAUGAGGUCGCGAGGAAGAUGGCGUUGCACUCGGCGAAGCCUCCAAGAAGGGGAAUGACACCCGCAGGCGCCAUCAACGCCGGUCCGGCCACAACCGAACAGGAUUUUCAUCCGUAGCUCUGCACAUCUCCGAGUCUCCAAGAUCCCGACCAGCCCCGAUCAGAUGCCUCGCACCGCCGUCACCACAACAACUUGCCAUCGAAGCCCCCCCUCACUGCCGAGGGGACACGCCUAAAGCCAUAGCCUUCAACAUCGACUAGGAGCUGCAGCAUCCACCGAGUGGUGCAAAGCCAUUUCCGCCACAGUGGCCUUCACCCAUCCCAGGGGACUGCCACCAGAAUGGAUCCGACCCGCACCUCCGACCAUCCUCCAGCACGCACACCGCCGAGGCAUCGCCGCACGCCUCACAAGGUAGCAACCGAACGCCCGCUGCCCGCCAAGACCCUUCCUGGCAAGGCCUCGCAGCGCCGCCGCCGCCAUGGCUGCGCUCGCACCGCCGCCACCGCCAGUGCCGGUGCACCACCUGCAUCCUCCAUCCUGCUACGUUCCACGCAAGGAUCCAGCGAUAACCGCCGCACCCCAUGUCGUGAGAACCUCAAGGACGCCGGCCAGUGCCAAAAACGCACCAGAUCUGGCCCGAGAUCCUCGGGUCCGCACGGAUCGGCCCGCUCGGAACUGGCCAGGCACGAACUCCCCCGCGGCGAGGAGCACCAACCCGCAGCCGUCCUGCGCACUCCACCGCGACGCGCCGCCACCAGACCGCCGCGACGCCCCACACCACCUCCGGCCAGCGCGCAUCUCCGCCGCGUCGGCCACCGAGAUUCGACGCCAGGCUGAAGAAGUGGUCCCGCCGGCCUGCGCACGCGACGCGCCGCUGCCAGACCGCCGCGACGCCCCGCACCACCUCCCGCCAGCGCGCAUCCACCCGCCACGCCAGCCACCGAGAUCCGCCGCCAGGCCGAAGAAGCGGUCCCCCGCGACCACCGCUCCAGGUGAGGGCAAGAUGAAUCCCGCCGCCGCCGGCACCACACGGGCUUUGUCCGACGGCGACCGCCGCCGGCGGCGGCGGCGGCGGGGAGGGGGAAAGGGAGGGAGGCUGGGGUCGGCGGCGGGGUUAGGGCACCCGAGUCGCCCGCGGGGGGGCGACGCGGGGCAGUUAUAUCUACAUGCAUCUAGCUGUCACCAAACCAAACACUCGCUUUUUGCCUAUGUGUUCCACCCCUCAAAUUUUACUAUGCCAUGCACGACUCAAUAUUUUUCUUUGACUUUUUUUUGCUGUGAUACAUAAUAAUGAUCACAAAAAUUAGCUUUGACUACAGUGGAUUUUCACUAAAUAAGAUUGAGAGAGUGAAAAAUCACUCCCUCCUAUUCCUAUAUGUCCAAUCCUCACAUAUGCAACGAAUAUAGAUCGACCUAAGUAUCAGAGCCAACAACCAAGCUUUCCGAACUAAAACAAUUGAAGGAGCGUAAACAUCAAGAACCAUCAUCACCCAAAAACAAAUGAAACCUUCUCACAGGGCCCCCACGUCGCUCUCUCCCCGGGGCGGCACGGGCGGCGACCACCGCCCCUCUCGCGGCCUCCCCAACUCCAGCCUCUUCUCCCCCUCGCCGUCGCCGGUGGCCUCCGGCAGGCAAAGCCUGCGCGGAGCCACCGGCGACGGGGCGCUCUCUGUAGCUGCUGCUCGCUCGGGAGGAGGGGCGCUCGCAUGCGGGUCGCGGCUGUCCGGCGCUCGGCCUCGUGGCGGCAUUGCUGCUCGCGGCGGAGGCAGUCUCCGGCAUAUGGCGCGGCGUCUGGUCGCGGCGGUGGGCGCGCCGUCGCGGUGCGCGCGGUCACGGUCGUCGGCCUCGUGCGGUCCCGAUCCGAUCUGGGAUCCUGCUGGCGGCGGUUGGCGCGGACGGUGUGUGGCGCCGGGGCGGCGGCCUCGGUCCGAGCUCCUGAUGUGGCCGGGGCGUGGACGGCGCGCGCUCGCGUGGUGGUGGCUCGGUUCUGGCUGUGCGUGUGGGGCGCAGCGACCAGUCGGGCGUGGUGGCUGCAGGUGCGUGUCGGGCGCAGUGACCGGCGGUGCGUGACGGGUGUGCUUCUCUGGAGUGCGAGGUGUGCUGCGGAGGGGAUCCUGCUCGUCUGCUCUACUGCUUUGCAUGUGCAACUCCGAUUGCAUAUGGUGCGAGGUGCAUCGAUCUGGGUGCUGCGCUUCGCGAUGCGGCGUGGGUUGAUGCGGUGGUGGUGGCCACGGUGGUGCUGCGGUGGUGGACGGCGGCUUCGGCCAGGGGGUGGUGCAUGUCAUGUCGCGGUGGAUCAUGGGAUCCCGUGGCCUGAAUGAGGUCGGCCUCAGUAGGUGGUGGCUGGUGGGCGGUGGUCGGUGGUGGUAGGUGGUCGGCGCAUCUCCAGGAGAAAUCUUUGCUUCAGCCUUCUUCGGAGAUGGCGACGGCGGCGCCCGCGGGUGCAGUGAUCUUUCUUGGAAGCGUUGUCGUGGAGGUGUGCUCCUCCUCCCCACGGAUUUGGCUCCGGAGGGAAACCUCAGAUCCGCUGGGUCGGGCGAUGAAGGCGUCUUCGCGUCUUUCUCCUCCUUGGGCGCAUCGUCUCGGAGCCGGCUACGACUGGGAGACUGGUGGAUUGCGGCAUCUUCGCCGUGGAUGGCGGCAUCUUCGCCGCGUGGUCUGCUGAGGCGGGGCACUGGUUUCUGUUUGGCAACGAUGAUGGCGUCAAGAGGAGGUCGGGUCGCGGCGUGGACUUCGGUAGUCGGUUCUUCCCGGCGUGUCCGAGGUGCUCUUCUGUGGGCACGGUCGGCGCAAGUCUUGCAUAUUUCCCUAGUGAGGCUCGUCGUCAAAGUCGGAGCUGUCAGUUGCUUGCGCGUGUGGCCAUCCGGUGGCAUGUGCCGUCGUGGCUUCUAUACAGCUGUUUGCAGGUUGGCUUUGAGGUUGGAGCUCUAUGGUGAAGUCGGAGUCGCUCGUUCGAGGCAAUCGGUGAUGACGAUGACGCUUGCGACUCCUCGGCGAAUGCCAUUCUUCUUUGCAGCUUUGUGUUCCAUGUCGGUGGCCUGGUUGGCCGGUGAUGCCCAUGUCAGGUGGGUUGAGUUGUAUCGGUUUUAGCCCGGUUUUUCGCAAAUUAACCGGGCAAUUCUCUCUUCUUCUUAAUCAAUGAAAAUGGCAAAUCUUUUGCCUCGUUUCAAAAAAAAAAAACAACAACAAAUGAAGCAAGACUAAAACUAUAAAUUCAAGAACUUGUAGGGGUCACAUGGACCGCUGGAAAAAAUUUGUACCUUGAGAGCUGUGAUAUUUUUAAAACAAGAUCAGCCAGGAAUAGCUCUUAGCAACAUAUUUUUAUAGAAGAAAAUCUCUAAGCAUCCGGCAGAGUAUACCGCUUUAGCAUAUGUACAAAUCUACAAAACACACAAUAGGUGGUAUUUAAAAUUAAAAUGUAUGGAAAUAAAUGGUCAAAGUGUAGCACGCAUCUCAAAGCUCGCCCCGACGCUGGAUUCUUUGGUGUUGCCUACCGGGUGGGCACCCUAGAAAAAUCGUGUUCGUGUCCACCGGCCGAAUCGAUGCGUUUAUGAUCAACCGCUCGCCGCUCCCUACCCUUGCUAGCUCACGGCAAUCCGGUCGUCGUCGUCGUCACAGACCACGUGAGUUUUCUUGUAGUAAUCCAUGGCGUCGCCGGAUCGACCUUUGGCUCUUUCCACAUACUACCUACCUAAUUGCGGCACAUAUUUGUCGCCUUUUUCAUUUGGAUGCAACUGCAUCGCGUUCGGUUUGACCCAUGGCUUCGGCAGCUUGUGCGCGCCGCUACAUUAUAAGCAGGUGCGCUCACACAACUAGCAGCUCCAUCACUCCACCACCACCCUGAUACACUCAUAACAAGCAGUGAUCGGUCGAUGGAGGCUUCACGCAAGCUCCUCUCGGCGGCGCUCCUCCUGGUGCUGCUGCUGGCGGGCACAGGGGAGAUGGGAGGCCCGGUGGCGGUGGCGGAGGCGCGGACGUGCGAGGCGAAGAGCCACAGGUUCAGGGGCCCCUGCGUGCGCCACCACAACUGCGCCAACGUCUGCAAGACCGAGGGCUUCCCCGGCGGCAAGUGCCGCGGCUUCCGCCAUCGCUGCUUCUGCACCACCCACUGCCGGCAGUAACCAACCUAUUGCCUCUACUUCGUACGUCCGCCUAGCUGCAGCCUGCCUGCGUGCAUCCUGGCUUGCUCGCACCUCUGUGCGUCUAUAGUAGUUAGCACUGUGUCCAUGAAUAAACCUCGGCCUGUCUGUCAUGGCAUGCUGAAAUGGGUAUAAGAAACGCAGGCUCUCUUUUACUCUAUAUUAACUAGAAGAACGCCCGUGCGUUGCAACGGGGCCACAUUAAUUUUAAGAAUUCAAUAUUACGACAUUGAUGAUCUUUUUUACCAUCAAAUCCUCACACACACAGACACACACUCUCCCUCCCUCUUCCUCACUCUCUAUCCCCCUCUCCCUCUCUCUCUAACACACACACAUAUCUAUCUUAUUGGGUACGGGACCAUAAUCCAUCUAUUUCACAGAUACACGCUACUGCAUAACAAUAUGGAUUAUGUGUAUUAUAUUUGCCACCAGAACCGAGGAAAUUAAUUUCAUGUAAAUCGACCAACCACAGCUCCAAGAAUACGCGGACGAGGUGGCUCGGAUCGGUGUCGGCGCCGUCCAGCGCGGACCACGGACCCGCUACCAAGUGCACGUACAAUGCACGUCUUCACAAAUAUUAUAACCAGAUGUGAGAAAUCACAUGCAUAGAAAAGACAUUCUGAUAGCAAUCCAAAUACCAUACUCAAUUGAAUACCUAACCUGGACAAUACUCUUAUUUCUAUGCGCCAAAAAAAAUGGAAUAGCAAAGCUAAGUAUGCCUACAUACGCUCAGAUUAUAUAUAAGAAUCUUGGGUGAACAAUUGCAACAAAGCACUAAGCAGCGAUAAAUCUAAAUAACAAAUCCAUUAACUAUGCAGGCAGCAGGCUUGUUACAACAUAGAGAGAUAGGAAAAUGUCACCUCCAGUAAUGUAGCGCAAAGGAGUGGAACGAAGCAUGAAUGAGCGGUUGUCUGUUCUUCUCCAUGUACAUGGAUCAGUAGUAGAGGCCAAGUAUAUAAGUACUUGACUGAACUCCACUCUUCGUGUACGGAGAGCCAUGUCACCUUCUCACCGCUGCAGCAUGGGAGGACGGCUGGUUCACGUGACCCUCCAGCUGGGGGAUCCAUGGUGUCUGACCGUCGAGCUCGAGGCAGAGAAGUUGAGGGCAGCAGUGGCGAGAUCCAUGCCGGCCAACCGGGCGAAGAGGAGGUCGUCGGGGAGGGACACAUCGGCAAGAUCCGGUCACCACGCGACCUGAAGAGCAACAGUGAUCUCCACAAGCUGUAGUCCGACGGCGUGCUCCAUCCCCUGCGAUGGGGUGACCAUGGCGGUGGCCACAGCUCCUCAUGCUCGCCUCGAUCUCGGCGACACACCCUAAGUGUAGGAGGCAGCAACGACCUCGACGAAAUCAUGGCCUCCAUCCCGGAACGCAUGAAGGACCUCGGCCCUAUCGCUACUCCUCCCGCCGUAGCCGCACGCGGCAGCGGACCGUGGGUAGGAGGCCAGGCGGCGUCGCCUCGGCUGACGGCAGGGAGCAGCGUUGAUUUCGGGUAGGUGGCAUCGCGAGGACGGCCGCGGCCGCGGGGAGGCACCCCGAUCAUGCUGCCAGGCCAAUCCUUCUCCUCCGACCCCCUAUCCCCGAAGAUUGCGCCGCCGCCCCGGUCGUGUUGUUUUCAUAUGCCAUUUUUUCCUGUACCUAAACAAAAGCGGGCGAGCGGAUGGCAGAGUUUUGGUCCGCCCUCUAAAAUUGCUAAACACACUUUUGGUGAGGAUUAUUGUUAAUAAAUGAAUUCAAUCAUGUCGCUCUAAAUAAAUGAAUUCAAUCAUGUGACUCUAAUUACUUCGGAUUGUUAUGUGCACACUAAGCGGGGUGUAGUUAGGAAAGAAAAUGUUUUCUAAUUAAAGUGAUUGAGUGAUUUAAGGUAAGGUUAAUUAAUUUAGAUUUGAUUUUUAGUGAUUGUUAGUAAAGUAUGAUGGGUCUUUAAAAUCUUUUAUUUGUUUCCUUAAAAUCUAUUAUUUGUUUCCUAUAGAAAUUUGCAAUAAUGGAAGGUAUCGGUUGAUUUGGAUAAGUUAGUAAAUUUAGAUCCGUGAGUGCGUGCACAUUUGGAAAGUGCUGAUUUACAAGGAAAGAGCUGAGGGGUAAAUAAACCGGUGAAUAAGAAAUCAGCAUCGAAAAAAAUCUACGACGGUUAACCUACGGAAAAACACCGGACGAAAGUGGUGGGACGAAAAAAAACCUGGAAGCAAGACUACCAACUGCUCCAUUAGGAGUAGAGAUAAUGGAUCUGUCUAGGUCUCAGUCGAAGUCUAAGUCGAUUGAUGACAUCAGCAUGCAGACUUGUUUUAUUUCUGUAAUUGUUUGUAUGUUUUUGGCGUUAUGGGCUGCCUUUGUAUUUUUAGUGGGCUUUUGUCACCUUUUCCACUGUGAGCAAUGCUUUGUUGCCAGAUUUUCCCCUCUUCCUUGUGCUUGGGCUGUACGACCACACAUAUAUGUGUGUUUUGCUAUGCAGCUACAAACUUAACAAUUAUGAAUAAAAAACUACAACCUCAAGUCCUCAACGAGUGAGGCAGCUUUUUUGUGUGUUCAAAUCAUUGCAUUUGUUUUUGUCAGAAAAAUCCUUGUAUAUGCAGUACGGUGCUUGUAGUUUUUUUAGAUGGGCAUGCAACUUAUUGUCAUUUUUCAUUCAAGGAGAAUACAAGGAUUUGAACACAAGCAAAUAUAUUCACAAGAAUAAUAAUGUGAUGCGCGCACAAGCAAUGGAUAAAAAUAAAUAAAAUGAAGAUAAAAAUUAAUAAAAGACACCAAUCGAGCACCCUCCCGCCCACGCGUGCCUUCUAGUUGCGUGCUUAUAUCACCUGUGGUUGCAUGCGGUGUGAAGUAUAUGUAGUUGCAUGCGCAACAGUAGGUUGCACGUUUGCAGUAUCAAAUUUUAGAAAACAAUAUAAAACAAAAAAUAAAAGAAGAAAAAACAUCACUAAAUAUCAGUUGAGUUUUGAAGUUACAGUCAAGGGCGAUUGUGCAACCAGAUGACAAUAUACUAAAAACUUAUUCUUUAAUAUAAAUUAAAAAUCAAAAAGUAGCAAGAAUCUUACAAUUAGAAAAGAAAAAGGAUAAACAGAAAAAAUAUUAAAACAUGAAAAAUGGUUGCAUUUGUAUCUGCACCCUGCCCACGACAAAAACCGACAUAGAGUUGUAGUCGCGGCAACACUUACAGUUGCAUGCCUAGUGACAAACAUGCAACCGCCCCUCCCUAAAAAACGCCGUAGAGAUGUAGUCGGGGCGAUCUUGGAGGGGCCCCGGAUCGCCGAGCAUCUCGUCGCCGGCGACUUCCGUUGUGAAAACCUUCCUUCCUCUCCUGUUUUCACUCUGUGUCUACGCUCUUCUCUCAAUUCAAACAGUGUCGUUGGAUGGCCUCUAGAAAGAUGUUGAGUCUUGGUCCACAUUCCAGAGACUAAAAAAAAGAA